CCGGAUAUUAAAAGUGACGCCAACUUCACAAAGCAUUCUGCUACUUUUGCUGAUAAUGACACAACAAAAAUAGACCUAAUGGAUUUCUACAUAUUUAUUCCUAUAUAUUGCAGAGUUCUGUUAUGUUCGACUUUGUGCAAAGCUGAAAUGACCUUACUACCCGAUGAGAAUUAACAUCCCAUAUCCCUUGACAACUUAACUAAUGACUCUACAGGCCCAUUAUUGAUGCUGUGCACUGCACUGUGUACCCACCCUGAGAAGUUUCUGCUGAAAGUUGUGGGUCUUGUUUUUUGACACCCCGCAACACACAGUGCUGGUAUGUUCAUGCAGAGACACAGGAGCCGGAAGUUUUGAACCCCAAUGGGCAUUUUCGUUAGACCGAUCUGCACUGACACAUUUGGCUGAGCUGCCUUAUGACCUCGACACUUUCGCUUUGGAUUGUCCACCUCUGUGUACAAGUUGUACAUACCAGAGUGAAACCUAGUCUAUCUCACAAAACUGAACAGAUUAGAUGCUGAUGCUGAGCUGUCUGUGUACUGGCUGUUCAUCGGAGUGUUAGCUCCAACCAGGACCAAUAGAAGAGGGGUGGGAAGCUGCAGCCCAUACGCUGUGACAGCUGUAUUACAGAUUCAGCGGGCCCGUUGUUGAUGCUGUGUACUGCGCUGUGAGCUCUGCCGGCAAAGGUUUUUGAGAAUGUUGUGUGUCUCGAAAGGUACCUGGUGUCAAGAAGAAAAUGCGGUUCGAUGUUAGUGACAUUUUCCUGAUAUAGUUCAGUGGCAGUUUUGAAACCCUUUGUUUCCGGAUCUGUCGUCAGGUAUUGUACUUCUAAAUUGUUCUUACUUUUAAUUUGUAGUAAACAAUCUUUUGCCCAUUCC